rnacentral:rRNA from 1 species
GACGAACGCUGGCGGCGUGCUUAACACAUGCAAGUCGAACGGGAGUAUUGAAGAAGCUUGCUUUAGAGAUACUUUAGUGGCGGACGGGUGAGUAACGCGUGAGGAGCUGUCCAAUGCAGGGGGACAACAGUUGGAAACGACUGCUAAUACCCCAUAAGCCGAGAGGUAAAAGGAUUUAUCCGGCAAUGGAGGUACUCGCGUCCUAUCAGCUAGUAGGUGAGGUAACGGCUCACCUAGGCGAAGACGGGUAGCCGGCCUGAGAGGGCGAACGGGCCAACGACUGGAACUGAGAUACGGUCCAGACUCCUACGGGAGGCAGCAGUGGGGAAUAUUGGGCAAUGGGGGGAACCCUGACCCAGCGACGCCGCGUGGGUGAAGAAAUCCUUCGGGAUGUAAAGCCCUGUUGUAUGGGAAGAGCGGAAGACGGUACCAUACGAGGAAAGCCCCGGGCAAACUACGUG